GCAUAUCUCCUCUGUCACCUCUGACUCUUUUCUUUUUCUUGUUUCUAUGCAUAUGUUCAGUUUCGACAUAUUGUUUUCGGGUACAAAUAAAAAAGACAACGUUUGCGAGUAAACAAACUCAGAAAAAGCCCAUCAAGAAAGGAAGUCAAACUCAACUCAGGGUUCCACGAUCACCCACUAUUGUUAAUUUAUACAUUUCCCAACCAGAAGCAGACAGACAUUUCUGUUCUUUCAAUCAAACAUUGUCCCUUUGGUGCAAUGGGAAAUUCUGAAUCUUCACCUGAAGACAGCCAUGAAAGUUUUUCGCAUCAACCUGGUGUACACACAGGCUACUCAAUUGAUUCAGGACAUCGACCUCAAUCUCCAGAGCAUACUAGAAUUUCAAGACAAAUGACUCAUCAGUAUCAUGAUCCCCAGCCGGAGCCCGGAACUUCUGCAAACACUAAAUAUAGGAAGAGACGGCAGUCUGCCCAUAUAGCCGAUAACUUCAACUCUUUGGAUGAGGUGAUAAAUGGAUUAAGGGAAGCAGGCCUGGAAUCGUCGAAUUUGAUCCUUGGCAUUGAUUUUACCAAGAGUAAUGAAUGGACAGGGAGGAUUUCUUUCCACAGGAAAAGUCUCCAUGCAAUCGGCCACCAACGUAAUCCAUAUGAGCAAGCUAUCUCUAUCAUUGGACGGACUUUAUCUCCAUUCGACGAGGAUAAUUUGAUACCAUGUUUCGGAUUUGGCGAUGCAACGACACAUGCUGAGAAUGUAUUUAGCUUUUACCCCGACCAUCGACCUUGUAAUGGAUUCGAGGAAGCUCUAGCUCGAUAUAAAGAGAUUCUUCCAUUUUUGCAUUUAUCAGGGCCAACCUCAUUUGCGCCGGUAAUUGAUGCUGCGGUCGAUAUAGUGGAAAAGAGCAACUUUCAGUAUCAUGUCCUCGUCAUUAUUGCCGAUGGACAGGUCACCAGAAGUCCCAACACAUUACCGGGAAGGCUAAGUCCUCAAGAACAAGCAACUAUCGACUCUAUAGUCGCCGCUAGUGAAUAUCCUUUAUCGAUCAUUCUUGUUGGUGUUGGGGAUGGGCCGUGGGAUGCAAUGAAAGAAUUUGACGAUAAUAUUCCUCAACGAGCUUUCGAUAAUUUCCAGUUUGUCAACUUCACAGAAAUUAUGUCGAAGCACACGGAUACAGCUAAAAAGGAAUCGGCUUUUGCUUUAGCUGCUCUAAUGGAAAUACCUCUUCAGUAUCGAGCAACGCUGACUCUGGAAUUCAAUGAAAAAUAUAAUUCAGGUCCGAGGAGGAAGCCUCUUCCGCCUCCCCGUGAAGUUAUUGAGCACGAUGAUGCUAUGAGAGCUCUCCCAAAAUCGACAAAUUUAGAACCGGCUGAAUCAGGGCCAUCGGCGGAGUUAGUUUGUCCGAUUUGCCUGACAAAUCCGAAGGACAUGGCAUUCGGAUGCGGUCAUCUGACUUGCAAGGAUUGUGGGGCCUCUUUAUCUUCAUGCCCGUUAUGCCGGCAGCCAAUUACUACUCGAUUACGUCUCUAUGGUUGAAAGAUAUGGCUCAUCUUGAGGCCAAAUACAUGAUCACUUUAUGGUAUCAGCUUCAAGGACUUGCAGAAGAUUUGUUUCCAGCAACAUGAGUUGUUAUGAAAAAGUUAAAAAAGCAGCAAUACAGAAGGCUGUGAUCAGUAUAGCAAAUCGAAACACGCAAGCGCAUGACACGACGAAUAGACCAGACCAACUGGAUCAACAUUGAGAUCCUCGACAUGGCUUUUGGGACAUGUAAGUCUUGAUGCCACAAACUUUUCCGACAUCCAUCAUCAGAUAAAAUCUUUUAACUUGUGCUUGCUUCCAUCAAGCAGUCUCUAGCUAAAUAUGUAACUGCUCAAUCUCAUUGUCACUGCAAACCUUUUCACUGGAUUUGAUGCAAUACGAGUAGUCCAUUGCCA